rnacentral:snRNA from 1 species
AUACUUACCUGGACAGGGUCAAUGGGCGAUCAACAAGGCCUAUGGCCUAAAUUGAUGACUUCUAUUGCACUUAGGAAGGGUAUCAAUUUAAGGUCUACUGUAAUGGUGGAGUCUACGUCAUAAUUUGUGGUAGAGGAGACCUGCGUUCACGCGAUCCCUA